UCAUCGAGUCUUUGAACGCAAGUUGCGCCCGAGGUUCGUCCGAGGGCAUUUCCGCUAGAGCGUCAC
rnacentral:rRNA from 1 species